rnacentral:rRNA from 1 species
UACGGAGGGUGCAAGCGUUAUCCGGAUUCACUGGGUGUAAAGGGUGCGUAGGUGGGCAGGUAAGUCAGUGGUGAAAUCUUUGGGCUUAACCCGAAAACUGCCAUUGAUACUAUUUGUCUUGAAUAUUGUGGAGGUCAGCGGAAUAUGUCAUGUAGCGGUGAAAUGCUUAGAUAUGACAUAGAACACCAAUUGCGAAGGCAGCUGGCUACACAUAUAUUGACACUGAUGCACGAAAGCGUGGGGAUCAAACAGG